rnacentral:rRNA from 1 species
CACGUAGGGCGCAAGCGUUGUCCGGAAUUAUUGGGCGUAAAGAGCUCGUAGGUGGUUUGUUACGUCUGCUGUGAAAACCUAGGGCUUAACCCUGGGCUUGCAGUGGGUACGGGCAGACUAGAGUGUGGUAGGGGAGACUGGAAGUUCCUGGUGUAGCGGUGAAAUGCGCAGAUAUCAGGAGGAACACCGAUGGCGAAGGCAGGUCUCUGGGCCAUAAACUGACGCUGAGAAGCGGAAAGCAUGGGGAGCGAACAGGA